AGAGUUUGAUCCUGGCUCAGGACGAACGCUGGCGGCGUGCUUAACACAUGCAAGUCGAACGGAAAGGCCCUUUCGGGGGUACUCGAGUGGCGAACGGGUGAGUAACACGUGGGUGAUCUGCCCUGCACUUCGGGAUAAGCUUGGGAAACUGGGUCUAAUACCGGAUAGGACCAUGCCAUGCAUGUGGUGUGGUGGAAAGCUUUUGCGGUGUGGGAUGGGCCCGCGGCCUAUCAGCUUGUUGGUGGGGUGAUGGCCUACCAAGGCGACGACGGGUAGCCGGCCUGAGAGGGUGUCCGGCCACACUGGGACUGAGAUACGGCCCAGACUCCUACGGGAGGCAGCAGUGGGGAAUAUUGCACAAUGGGCGCAAGCCUGAUGCAGCGACGCCGCGUGGGGGAUGACGGCCUUCGGGUUGUAAACCUCUUUCACCAUCGGCGAAGCCUCGUGCUUUUGGGUGGGGUGACGGUAGGUGGAGAAGAAGCACCGGCCAACUACGUGCCAGCAGCCGCGGUAAUACGUAGGGUGCGAGCGUUGUCCGGAAUUACUGGGCGUAAAGAGCUCGUAGGUGGUUUGUCGCGUUGUCCGUGAAAUUCCCUGGCUUAACUGGGGGCGUGCGGGCGAUACGGGCAGACUGGAGUACUGCAGGGGAGACUGGAAUUCCUGGUGUAGCGGUGGAAUGCGCAGAUAUCAGGAGGAACACCGGUGGCGAAGGCGGGUCUCUGGGCAGUAACUGACGCUGAGGAGCGAAAGCGUGGGGAGCGAACAGGAUUAGAUACCCCCGUAGUCC
rnacentral:rRNA from 1 species